AGUGAACGCUGGCGGUAGGCCUAACACAUGCAAGUCGAACGGCAGCACAGUAAGAGCUUGCUCUUACGGGUGGCGAGUGGCGGGCGGGUGAGGAAUACAUCGGAAUCUACUUUUUCGUGGGGGAUAACGUAGGGAAACUUACGCUAAUACCGCAUACGACCUACGGGUGAAAGCAGGGGAUCUUCGGACCUUGCGCGAUUGAAUGAGCCGAUGUGGGAUUAGCUAGUUGGCGGGGUAAAGGCCCACCAAGGCGACGAUCCGUAGCUGGUCUGAGAGGAUGAUCAGCCACACUGGAACUGAGACACGGUCCAGACUCCUACGGGAGGCAGCAGUGGGGAAUAUUGGACAAUGGGCGCAAGCCUGAUCCAGCCAUACCGCGUGGGUGAAGAAGGCCUUCGGGUUGUAAAGCCCUUUUGUUGGGAAAGAAAAGCAGCAGGUUAAUACCCCGCUGUUCUGACGGUACCCAAAGAAUAAGCACCGGCUAACUUCGUG
rnacentral:rRNA from 1 species